rnacentral:snoRNA from 1 species
AUCCUUUAGUAGGUCAUAAGCGUGAUGAUUGGGUGUUCAUGUUCUCGUGUGAGAUAGGCCUCUCUGAAAUCUUGUUGCAUCAGCACAUUACACAUAUGAUG